ensembl:lncRNA
CCCUGUGUGGGAACAUUUUGAUCUUAUUCCUCCCAACAAGGUGAAGUGUUUGCUAUGUGCCAGGGAGCUGGGAUAUAACAACAACACCUCAUCCAUGCUUAGGCACUACAGAGCUUUGCAUGAGAAUAAGGGGAACACCGAUGGAGCAAGACCAGGAGAACAAUCUCCAAUAGAUGAAGACCUGGUUAUCAUGGUGAUUGAGGACUCCCAGCCAUUUAGCAUUGUGGAGGACAAAGGAUUCAAAAGAUUUGUUAAAUCAUUAAAUCCUAGCUAUGUUCUCCCCACUAAAAAGGUCAUCAAAGCAGUGAAAAUUUAGUUUUUACUGAAUAAAAUGUGAACAGGCAGGACUGAUGCCUCAGUGUGUAGCUGUCCAUACCUCAACGUUACAAAAGCACAACCACUGUCCACACCCCAACCACACCUCACCUCACAGUAAAUGAUCAUUUCCAUUUCAAGCAUUUCCAAAUAAUCAUUUUCCAUACUGGCAGUAUAAAUAUACACAGUAUACUGCCAUCACUACAAUAUAGAUGUUUUACACACUCC